rnacentral:lncRNA from 1 species
GGACCUCACAGAAUGGAAAGUUCCUGUUCUUGGAGGAGACGUGAUGUAGGAGAAACAGCAUGAUCCCUGAGCCAGGCUUCAAUUUCCAGCCCUGUCACAAUAUCUCUGAAACUCUGGAUCUCCAGACCUACUGAUGCAUCUCAAGAUGAUUAUCGUCCUACACACUCCAGAGCAGCACCUGCCCCAUGUGCCUUGACCCUUCACAGAGACUUUAAUUAUGCGAGCAGAUUGUAUUUGCCUUCUUCAUGCAUGGAAAGACAGAAUUAUGAUGGAUUGACUGAGAAGAUGCAGGGAAGGAAAAGUAACACGUGUUGAAUGCCUGCCACAUGCCAGGGAGGAGGACGAAUAGUUCUACAAGUAUUUUUACCUUUAAAUCUCACAAUAACCUUAAAAGACAGGUCCUAGCAUCAUUUAAUAACUAAGGAAACUGAGACUCAAAGAGAUGAAGUGACCAGUCUGAACUCCCUUAGCAUGUAAAUGGCAAUAUACAAAGACUAAACAGCUUAAUC